GUCCCUGCAGAGCAAUGGAUAGCGUGUUGGACUUCUAAUUCAAAGGUAGUGGGUAGGAAUCCCACCUGGAAUG